CCCAAAGGACGGGGUUAAAAGGGAAUCCGGUGUGAAGCCGGAACAGUACUCGCUGCUGUGAGUUCCGCCUCUGCGGAGGUAAUGUCGUGCACGACGCCACUGACCCGUCGGUCGGGAAGGCGCACGGCGGGGAACGAGUCAGAAGACCUGCCCGAAUGU
rnacentral:ncRNA from 1 species